UUGAUCCUGGCUCAGAAUCAACGCUGGCGGCGUGCCUAACACAUGCAAGUCGAACGAGAAAGUGGAGCAAUCCAUGAGUAAAGUGGCGACCGGGUGAGUUACACGUGACCAAUCUACCCUUGAGUGGGGGAUAACCUCGGGAAACCGGGUCUAAUACCGCAUAACAUCCUCGGAUCGGAAGAACUGGGGAUCAAAGGAGUAAUUCGCUUAAGGAGGAGGUCGCGGCUGAUUAGCUAGUUGGCGGGGUAAUGGCCCACCAAGGCAAAGAUCGGUAGCCGGCCUGAGAGGGCGCACGGCCAUACUGGAACUGAAACACGGUCCAGACUCCUACGGGAGGCAGCAGUGGGGAUUUUUGCGCAAUGGGGGAAACCCUGACGCAGCAACGCCGCGUGGAGGAUGUAGUCCCUUGGGACGUAAACUCCUUUCGACCCGGACGAUAAUGACGGUACUGGUGGAAGAAGCCCCGGCUAACUUCGUGCCAGCAGCCGCGGUAAUAAGGU
rnacentral:rRNA from 1 species